GAACCGAAUCUCCAUCUUCAAGAGACUGCUAGAAAACGAAUGGGGCGAUAAAAUGGGGCGCGCCUCACUCGAAACAUUGAAUUUGAGAAAACAGAACGCAGAGAAACAGCUGCCAACCACCGAAGAUAUGAAACGGCUACAGAACCACCUUCAGACCAAACUGGCAUCCACGAUGGAGUCUGUGAGUAGAAAGCCUAGCGUCAAGUCAUACAACACCUUGGCGUGCGUAACAGCCGUCAGCCUCAUGGUGUUCAACAAACGUAGAGGUGGAGAGUCCAUGAAGAUUCGUGUCCGUGAUUACACUUCAAGAGCGGCGUACACCCAAAACGAGACAGUCGUCAAUUCGCUAUCAGACUUGGAGAAACAGAUCAUGGACAAGAUGUGCCUGAUCAAAACGCGUGGCAAACGUGGAAGGACUGUGCCGGUUCUCAUACCACAGAUGGAGAAACGGGCGAUCGAUCUUCUGGUUUCUCUCCGUGAGUCGGUGGGUCUGCGUGAUAGUGUACCAGAAGAGGCGCUCCUCUUCUCAAAGGCUCCGGAAGGAAGACUCGUAAACGGGUGGUAUCAGCUGAAGAAAGAAUGCAGAGAUGCUGGUUGCCGAGACAUAAACGCCAUCACUUCAACAAAUAUGCGCAAAUAUCUAGCCACGAUCGCCCAGAUCAUGAACCUAUCAGAAAAUGAAAUGGAUCAGAUUGCCUCACACCUCGGACACGAUAUAACCGUUCACAGAAAAUAUUAUCGCCUACCGGACAGCACAGUAGAACUCGCGAAAAUAGCGAAACUUCUACUGUCUACCGAAGAAACGCUUGGAGCCAAUCUCGACGAUGAUGCUGAAGGAGCGUCAAAUGCAGUCGGCGCUACGGCUGGCCGUGUCAGCGACCCACCUGCUCGGCCACGGCCAACAGGCAGCCGGCUCCGACGUCAAGUAGGCGCUACGGUUCCUGACGCCAGCAGGAGCACUUGACCAGCAGCUCACCGCCACCGCACAGGACCUGGCACAGCUCGGCACAGGCAUGCACAUUGACCCAGCAGUGGUGCAAGAAUGCGAAUGGCAAGCUCUGCACUGAUUCCUCCGUUUUUAGCAUUAGUGUUUCGCGUAACUUUCCGUUAAACGGACGGGGCCGCCGCCGGCCCCGGCCGCCGCCGUGCGAGUCGGCCGCCGCGCCGCUACGGACGACUGGCACACGCCACAAGUGUGAUGGAUUUUCGGCCAACGCGGCGACACCGGCGUAGCGUUCAAUUGGCCGCGCUGCCCUGACGCUCCGGUGACGGACAGGUGGACCGAGGGCGCCGCCCGCCCAUCCCUCCGGACCAGGCCAGGCCGGCCGAUCUGAGGGAGGUAGGGAGGAGCCGCGUGGCUGGCCGAAUGGACGGCCGCGCCGGGCCAUUGUCACUGAUUGUUGGCCAUUGUCACUGAUUGUUCAUUGCCGCACCGAGGUCCGGCGAUGUCACCGGAAUGCCGCCACUGGUUUGAGUUUCCGCGAAACCGGCUUGCCCAGAGAUGUUUGUCACUGGCAUUGCUAUGUGCUAUUUGUGAUGUUCAUAUAUACCAUUCCCGUUACGGAGUACAUAUCUUGUUUUGAACGUUAAGUUCCGAUAUACGAACUGGCCGUCUGAAAAAGAGCCGCACGUGCACGAUGCUUGUAGAUAUUCCUGACGACCACGAACCGACCACGAAUCAGAACUGCGCCUCUCGUAAUGGGAGUGCGAGUAGUUGUUGCGAGUUAGAGCUCCUUGGCGAGUGGCUGACUCUGAACUGACUGACUAAACACCGGUUAGCUGUUUCACCAGCAGUCCCAGUGGAGGGAAGUAGGCCCAGGCGAGCAGGGUGUCGCAGCGUAAGUCCGACGAUGGCGGCGCAGUAGUCGAAUGGCGUCCACAUUUAGCCGACGAAGGCUGCGCUGAGCGCCAUACCCGCCUCACCUUAUCUCCGAGUCACGUGUUCAUGACUGACACGGGCAACCAUACGGCCCGUCGUUGCCCACGCGCACCCCAGACGGGGCCGCCAGUCGCGGCCCCGGACACGUCAGUCCCCAGAUCUGCAGUGAUGUCGCCCGGCUCUGACGAUGGCGCACAGCCGCCGUGUCCGCGGUCUCCGUCGCCGCCGCGGUAUGCGGCGCUGGGCGGCGACUCGUACAUGUCGCGGUCUCGCCAUUGGGGGCCGAACGAUUCGCGGCUCCCGCCGACCCCGCCGGCGACGAGUUUCCUCCGGCGAGUCCUGCGCCGUCUGGCGUGGUCGACGCUGCCCGGGAGGUUCCUGGCUGGCAAGCUGCUGCUGUGUCUACCGACGCACAGAGUUUUGUCGUGGCUGUGCUGUCCGCGGCCGUGCUCCACGGUUGCGACGUCUGCGGCCAAGCUGCCCGCUGCUGAGCUCCGCGGCCGAGCUGCCAGCGGCCGUGCUCUGCGGCCGUGCUCUGCGGUCGUGCUCUGCGGCCGUGCUUCCCGUGGCUGGGCCCUCCGUGGUCCCGUGAUCGUGGCCGCGGCGAGGGUGCCGCGACCUGCGCGAUGCCGUGCGCUGCAGUGAUGGCGCCGCGCACUGUGCAGUGAUUUUGCCGAGCGCUGCGUACGCGGUGGGUGCCGCGCGCCGCGCUGUUGAGCGUGCCGUAUUCGGACGGUGGCUGCCGCGCGCAGCGUGGUGAUUGCUGCGCUCUGCCAUGAGUGCCGCUCACUGCCGUGGCCUGAGUGCCGCGCUCGGACGGAGUGCCACGCGCCGUUGUGUUGCGUCGCCUUCUGCCUUUUGAUAUGUGCUAUCUCCGAAUUUAAUGUUGCUUGUUGCCGAUGUUCGCUUCUUUUCGUUAAGAGGGUCGGGUAUAGUCGGUCGAUUUAUUCGCACCGUUUGAUUUCGUACCGGCUUCUCUUCUGUUUCUUAUUGUUUUCUGCGAUGUCACUUGUCCGAUUUUAUAUCUGAUUAAUUCACGUCACUUAAGUAUUUAUUUUAUAUUGUCAUAAUAACUUACGGCGCUGUUCCUUUAUUUUCUGUUUAGUUGCAGCCCUAGUACCUUAAUUUCCGAUGUCUCUUCGGUUUGUUGUCGCUCGCAUGUUCAGAGAGUCCUGGUUGGCCGGCGCGAGCGGCGGUUGUGGAAUACAAGCUCGUCUGUGAA
rnacentral:misc_RNA from 1 species